ACGAACGCUGGCGGCGUGCCUAAUACAUGCAAGUAGAACGCUGAAGGAGGAGCUUGCUUCUCCGGAUGAGUUGCGAACGGGUGAGUAACGCGUAGGUAACCUGCCUGGUAGCGGGGGAUAACUAUUGGAAACGAUAGCUAAUACCGCAUAAGAGUAGAUGUCGCAUGACAUUUGCUUAAAAGGUGCAACUGCACCACUACCAGAUGGACCUGCGUUGUAUUAGCUAGUUGGUGAGGUAACGGCUCACCAAGGCAACGAUACAUAGCCGACCUGAGAGGGUGAUCGGCCACACUGGGACUGAGACACGGCCCAGACUCCUACGGGAGGCAGCAGUAGGGAAUCUUCGGCAAUGGACGGAAGUCUGACCGAGCAACGCCGCGUGAGUGAAGAAGGUUUUCGGAUCGUAAAGCUCUGUUGUAAGAGAAGAACGAGUGUGAGAGUGGAAAGUUCACACUGUGACGGUAUCUUACCAGAAAGGGACGGCUAACUACGUG
rnacentral:rRNA from 1 species